rnacentral:tRNA from 1 species
UUUAAACCCUAAAUAUGAUUUAUUAAUUCUCAUAUUA